GAAUUUUAUAUAUUUUUAUUUAAUAAAAUUUAUAUUGAAAUAAAUAAGAAGAUAUUUUAUUGGGAGGAUAGUUAAAUAUUAAAAACUUUAGUUAAAAUUAAAAUAUAAAUUAAUAAAUUUAAGAAUGGUUAAAUAAAUUAAUUAAGAAUUAAUUACCUUAGGGAUAACAGCGUAAUAUUUUUGGAGAGUUCAUAUUAAUAAAAAUGUUUGC
rnacentral:rRNA from 1 species